rnacentral:rRNA from 1 species
CCUACGGGCGGCAGCAGUGAGGAAUAUUGGUCAAUGUGCGCGAGUCUGAACCAGCCAAGUAGCGUGAAGGAUGACUGCCCUACGGGUUGUAAACUUCUUUUAUAUGGGAAUAAAAUGUUCCACGUGUGCCUUUUUGUAUGUACUUUAUGAAUAAGGAUCGGCUAACUCCGUGCCAGCAGCCGCGGUAAUACGGAGGAUCCGAGCGUUAUCCGGAUUUAUUGGGUUUAAAGGUAGCGUAGGUGGAUUGUUAAGUCAGUUGUGAAAGUUUGCGGCUCAACCGUAAAAUUGCAAUUGAUACUGGCAGUCUUGAGUACAGUUGAGGUGGGCGGAAUUCGUGGUGUAGCGGUGAAAUGCUUAGAUAUCACGAAGAACUCCGAUUGCGAAGGCAGCUUACUAAACUGCAACUGACAUUGAUGCUCGAAAGUGUGGGUAUCAAACAGGAUUAGAUACCCGAGUAGUC